GCGGGCGUGGCGGAACCGGCAGACGCGGCAGGCUUAGGACCUGCUGGGCGAAAGCCCUUGGGGGUUCGAGUCCCUUCGCCCGCACCA
rnacentral:tRNA from 1 species